UGGAGGAGGGUAAAAAGGAAAGAGAAGCAUAUCCAUGGAUGGUUGAAAUGAACACCGUGUCCAAUAUUUUAGGAUUAUGUAAUAUCGAAAGGAAUUGUCUGUCAGGAGCCCACAUGCUAAUGCACGAAGAUCAAAACAAUCUUCAUCUGCAGCAUCUUUGAAACAGGAGAAUUACUUUGGAGUUUGUUAUUUCUCCAGGGUAGAGACAUAGACCUGCUCUAGGGAAGUAAUUGUAUCAUCAACCAAAUUCUAGGCGUAACUGAGAGAGGCUGAAAUAAAAUAGAAAACUCUUGCUGGGUCUGUCUCCACAGACUCCCGGGCGAGGCGUGAGAAUCAUGUCCUGAGUGGAAUGCCUGACAUGUGGCUCAGAGACCUGGCACUGAGUGUUCUCUGUCCUGACCAUCCACUGUACAUCUGUCUUUCUGGUAAACAGCUUCUAGGAGUUUCACUUCUGGGAACCCAUAGGGAGCGCCCUGAUUACAAGAAACACAACAAACACACUGAAGUGGACCUGAGAUGCCCAGUGGGAGCCUGUCCUCAUGCUGUGGCCCUUGUGCUGCAGAGGAGCAAAUGCUUUAGAGCAGCAAUGCUUUUGUGUUUCAUUAAAUAGCUAAAAACAAUGACUCUGAAGAAGUAAAGCUGAACUGAAAUUGAGCAGCAAGCUUUGCUCCUGGUCUAGGGUUAAAAUGAGUUCUCGGCCUUGGAGAGGCCUUCAGCUGGUACUGCUCUGGGUCAUAUCUGAGGCACCUGUGAGCAAGGACCACGUGUUCGCUGCAGACUCCAAAGUGCCAGGAAUGGCAUCCAGAGAAGCAGCUUUAGAAGGUGAUGAGUUUCAUUCAAAAUAUUUUCUGUUCUUAUUUUGAUCCCUUCCCCGCAGCCUCAGGAUGAAGGACUGAAGCCUCCAGGGCUGACAAGAUGGCAGGAGUUUCCGGUGGGGAAACAGGGACGACUCUAAAUUACUUGGCUGAGUCCCUUUGAAGGCUGCAGAUACCUCUACCCUUGAGGAGGCUUUUCCAUGGGGCUUGGGGAAAAGGGUAGCUUUUUAAUUUAGGAGAGUAGAAUAAGGAGAGAAGGAAGAAGGCACUCAUUGUCUGCUACCAUGUCCCUUUCCUUUCUGUGUGAUGACACUCAAUUAGUAAGCAGGUAACAAACAAAAGGAAAAAUAGGACUUCACCCCUCCUCAAAAACACCCCAGCAGGAGCCAAUCCCUUUUACUGAAUACCCUGGCUAUGGUAUUAUAGUUAACUGUAAAAUACAAGAAGCUACGUUCUUAUGAUGAUGGGUUUUCCCAUCACCUGAAAAAUCAUGUACUGAGAGCGCCUCAGUGUACUAACCAGGGUAAAAUCACCUUCUGAGUUUAGAUCUGCAUCAGCAUCUCCCACAAGACUAGCAGCUCAGGUUACACCUUGUAUGAAGAAAAUAAAGAGUUAAAACAUAAGUAUAAAUUAAUAGCCACAAAAGGGAAAGGAUGGUGUGUGUGUGUGUGUGUGUGUGUGUGUGUGUGUAUGGGGGAGCUAUUAAAACAUUUUUGUGUGAAGCACAAUCUUAGGAGGACCCCCAGAGGACUUGCAAACACUCAGUAGGAUCAAAUCAGAUGAGUCUAUAGACAUUGUUAUUUGUCAGAUUAAAUCACACUAAAUUCAAGAAAUGUAGAUGAUAUGAUGAUUAAAAUAUUGCCCCCAGCUUCCCUCACAUCCACUACAAAUGCUUCUGCAUGUGCCACUUUUUCAGAUUUUGUUGUUAACUGUUAAAGAGUUUUGGGUGCUCAGCCUUUUUUCUGCUACAAUGAUAAUAAGAGUUUUCUCUCCAGGAGUUCUGGGCAAAAUUAAUGAAAAUUUUUAUGGCCCAGGAAGAGAGAAAAACAAACAUCCAAGCAAGGAUCUGGGGUGCAGAGCAGAGGAUUAGGAGAGUGAGCAAAAUAACCGAUUUGUGAAUAAGAGCCACUCAUAUGCAAGAAGACCAAAGUUGUUAAUGAUCUUGUUACUGCUGACUUCUAAGGGCUUCACCACAACAGAUCAGCAGCCCCAGGAAAGCCAGGGAGAGCAGAGGGUCUGAAGUGAACUUGUUACCCGGUGUCCCUGCUGGGCAAAUAAGUCCCCCAGUAAGUGAAUUCUCCACAUAACUGAAAGCUAUCCUGUAACUGGUAAAGCUUUUCUUUUACUAUGUUUGUGAAUUGUCUAUCAAAUGAUUUUCCUGUCAUCUUCAACAGAAAUGACACACACACACACACACAUCACAUACUUAAGAAAGUAAACUUUCAAUAUGAUCAUAGUAAGAUUCUGCAGAUAAGAAAACCAAGAACCAGCAAGACCAGGGAUGCAUUGCCAAACACAGUUGGUUGCAGCUCUGGGGCUACUGAGGGGUACAGAGAACAGUUUUGAGCUUCCAUUUACGUGCCUUGGAGUUGUUCUUUUUCUGAUUCCCUCCUUGUCGGGCAGACAAAGGCAGACACUUAAACUCAUGCUUUUAACUUCAGAAAAAUUCUUCCCUCCCCCUCUCUCCCUUUGUAAAAUAAAAUGCAAACCAA